CUGAUAACGGGUGCAGAUGCGGAAACUUCUAUCCCGGAACCGCGGUGCUGCUGAUUGGCUUCUCUGGAAACCCUACACUAAUAGGAUUGUGAACAGAUGCGCGUCAUCAGUAUCCAGGCAGAAGGACUCGACACAGGUUGUGACUGGGAGAAGUGAAACCAGGGAGGAUGGGGACUCCCCAACACUGGGCUUCCCCGCCCCAGACACUGCCCUGGGGCCUGAGACCCUGAGAGGCAGGCGGGGGACCUGGGACUUUGCCCCGAAGCCUCACCUACUACACAGAGCGCUCUCUGUCCCACUGUGUCCCUGAGUCGUGGCCCAGGAGCUGCUUAAAGAUCUUCAAUAACAAAUUCUUAUGGCCGCCAACCUAUGUGGUCAAAGCAUGGACUUUAAGCAGGUGAACACUGCCAUCACCUACCACCUGCCUGGAGAUUCCCACACCUACCCGCACUGGGUAAGCUGCACACCCACACGGGCAUGCCAGUGACCCCUCCUACCUUAUGAUUUCCUAUCUCAUGCAUCCGUGUUCCUCCUUUUGGGUGUCUUCCUACUUUGGAGUCUUCCCAGUGCUACCCUGACUCCUUCCAGUUUGGCCACAAUGGCUUGAAAAUCAGGUUUGUAUCAGGUGGCAACAAGGCCAAGAACCUCAGUGAGGCACAGGGCCACACUGAGCUCGGUAGUAGUGAGCUGCCUGAUGAGAUGGACAUUUCCUCUUCCAUUUAUUGUCAAGUUGGUUUCCAUAUAACACCC